rnacentral:rRNA from 1 species
UACGUAGGGUGCAAACGUUGUCCGGAAUUAUUGGGCGUAAAGAGCUCGUAGGCGGUCUGUCGCGUCGGAUGUGAAAAUCCAGGGCUCAACCCUGGACCUGCAUUCGAUACGGGCAGACUAGAGUUCGGUAGGGGAGACUGGAAUUCCUGGUGUAGCGGUGAAAUGCGCAGAUAUCAGGAGGAACACCGGUGGCGAAGGCGGGUCUCUGGGCCGAAACUGACGCUGAGGAGCGAAAGCGUGGGGAGCAAACAGG